GAGUUUGAUCAUGGUUCAGAUUGAACGCUGGCGGCAGGCCUAACACAUGCAAGUCGAGCGGCAGCGGGAAAGUAGCUUGCUACUUUUGCCGGCGAGCGGCGGACGGGUGAGUAAUGCCUGGGAAAUUGCCCAGUCGAGGGGGAUAACAGUUGGAAACGACUGCUAAUACCGCAUACGCCCUACGGGGGAAAGCAGGGGACCUUCGGGCCUUGCGCGAUUGGAUAUGCCCAGGUGGGAUUAGCUAGUUGGUGAGGUAAUGGCUCACCAAGGCGACGAUCCCUAGCUGGUCUGAGAGGAUGAUCAGCCACACUGGAACUGAGACACGGUCCAGACUCCUACGGGAGGCAGCAGUGGGGAAUAUUGCACAAUGGGGGAAACCCUGAUGCAGCCAUGCCGCGUGUGUGAAGAAGGCCUUCGGGUUGUAAAGCACUUUCAGCGAGGAGGAAAGGUUGAUGCCUAAUACGUAUCAACUGUGACGUUACUCGCAGAAGAAGCACCGGCUAACUCCGUGCCAGCAGCCGCGGUAAUAC
rnacentral:rRNA from 1 species